AUAUAUAUAGUGUAUAUAAAACCUUACAUUUUCAGUGUGAUAAUAAAAUAUUUUUUUUUUAUAUAUA
rnacentral:tRNA from 1 species